rnacentral:rRNA from 1 species
GACGAACGCUGGCGGCGUGCCUAAUACAUGCAAGUAGAACGCUGAAGGAGGAGCUUGCUUCUCUGGAUGAGUUGCGAACGGGUGAGUAACGCGUAGGUAACCUGCCUGGUAGCGGGGGAUAACUAUUGGAAACGAUAGCUAAUACCGCAUAAUAGUAGAUGUUGCAUGACAUUUGCCUAAAAGGUGCAAUUGCAUCACUACCAGAUGGACCUGCGUUGUAUUAGCUAGUUGGUGGGGUAACGGCUCACCAAGGCGACGAUACAUAACCGACCUGAGAGGGUGAUCGGCCACACUGGGACUGAGACACGGCCCAGACUCCUACGGGAGGCAGCAGUAGGGAAUCUUCGGCAAUAGACGGAAGUCUGACCGAGCAACGCCGCGUGAGUGAAGAAGGUUUUCGGAUCGUAAAGCUCUGUUGUAAGAGAAGAACGAGUGUGAGAGUGGAAAGUUCACACUGUGACGGUAUCUUACCAGAAAGGGACGGCUAACUACGUG